rnacentral:lncRNA from 1 species
AAGAAAUUAUCGAGGACUUUGAUUGUUCAAGGCAUGAAUUGCUCUGAUGCAAAGUCCUCCUUUUUUUUCUUGCUUGAUAUAAAAGGUCUUCAGUAUCUAAAACGUAUGAAACCUAAGAUGCAACAUGUUCCCAGAAAAAAACAAAUAAUGGAAAUUCAGAAACACAAUAGGGGGACAUACGUACCAAAUGGAUGGUAUUAACAAAAUGAGAAAAAGCAAAUAGUAUUUAGAAGGAUUCAGGCAAGAAUGGUAAUAUUUAUAAAACUUGCAAAUGUAAAUUCUUAAAUACCUUAGACGAAUUGCAAGCUAUCUUACACUCCAGUCCAUUGACAAUUUGUAGUCCAUCCAUGGUCUGGCUUGAAAAUUC